GAUGAACGCUGGCGGCGUGCCUAAUACAUGCAAGUCGAGCGAACAGAUGAGGAGCUUGCUCCUCUGACGUUAGCGGCGGACGGGUGAGUAACACGUGGAUAACCUACCUAUAAGACUGGGAUAACUUCGGGAAACCGGAGCUAAUACCGGAUAAUAUAUUGAACCGCAUGGUUCAAUAGUGAAAGACGGUUUUGCUGUCACUUAUAGAUGGAUCCGCGCCGCAUUAGCUAGUUGGUAAGGUAACGGCUUACCAAGGCAACGAUGCGUAGCCGACCUGAGAGGGUGAUCGGCCACACUGGAACUGAGACACGGUCCAGACUCCUACGGGAGGCAGCAGUAGGGAAUCUUCCGCAAUGGGCGAAAGCCUGACGGAGCAACGCCGCGUGAGUGAUGAAGGUCUUCGGAUCGUAAAACUCUGUUAUUAGGGAAGAACAAAUGUGUAAGUAACUAUGCACGUCUUGACGGUACCUAAUCAGAAAACCACGGCUAACUACGUG
rnacentral:rRNA from 1 species